CGGCGUGACGUCAAUAAGAAGCGACGGUGAGCAGGCCUACGAUAUCAAUACACAAAAAUAGGACGUGGGAGGAAAUAAGGUUUUGUUGUUUUUGGUUAAAUAAAUCCGUUUGAUUCAACGCAAUGCCGAAAGUGAAAAGGAGCAGGAAACCACCUCCGGAUGGCUGGGAGUUGAUUGAACCGACAUUGGACGAAUUAGACCAAAAAAUGAGAGAAGCCGAGACGGAGCCUCACGAGGGAAAGCGGAAGGUGGAGUCCCUGUGGCCGAUAUUCAGACUGCAUCAUCAGAGGAGCAGAUAUAUCUUCGACUUGUUCUACAAGAGGAAGGCCAUCAGCAGAGAGCUGUAUGACUACUGUAUUAAGGAGAGUUAUGCUGAUAAGAACCUGAUUGCUAAGUGGAAGAAACAGGGAUACGAGAACCUGAUCGCUGUGUGUGUGUGUGUGUG